GCAAAUCAUGUGGGGAAAGAUCCAUUCUAUCUCUUUCUAGUUACCCUAAUGCAUAUGGACUAAUAUUUUCAUCGGAAAAGAUGAUCGACUUGGUCUUUCGGUUGAUUGAAAUGCCCAGCAAUGGUAACAAUAACUAGUAGGCUUCUUACUCCAAUCACCCUUCAAUUUGGGGUUGAAAUGGACAAUUCUCGGUGAUUCCUCUCCAUCAAUGGUCUGCUAUAAACUCCAUCAACUACCCUACUUUCUUCAACUACUUUCUCUGUUAAAGCCAAUUUAUGAACAUUUCAAUGGUCUUCACGUCAACUUCAUAAUGCUUUUGUAUAAAUUCAACAAGCAUGGGAGAAGCUGGCUAUGCUUUUGUUUAAAUUCAAAAUGGUGACUCCACUAGUUAGAACACAAAAAAAGGUGAAAAGUUGCCUUUGUCUUUUGUUGUUCAAUUUAGCUAUAUGCAAGCAACCCUUGCAUCUCCCGUUUGAAAUAACAUCUUAAUUCUUCUUUUGGUUCUAAUCUCUUUUUAUUGUGUGUGUGUUUGUG
rnacentral:misc_RNA from 1 species